CAUGUCAUGACUACUGAUAAAUACCGAGUUCAUCGUAUUACAUAGAAAAGCUAUGCCUGAAGCUUAUGCUUAUGCUUGUAGGUGUGGCUAGAACUUCUCUAAAGACAAGGCCUAGUGCUCUCAGAUCCUAUAUCAAUUUUUUUUAGAAAAUUUCUAUCAUAGAAAGAUGCUGAUAUACACUACAGUGGAUACUAAUACAGAUAGUACUAUAUGAACUGAUACUACUAGGGUAAAUGCUGGUGCAUACUUUAGCAAUGCAAAUACUAACUGCAGCACACACC
rnacentral:lncRNA from 1 species